AAAUAACGCACUACCAGCAGUCGUUCAGAAGUUUGGAACAGGUGUUGCCGCAAGCUCGCCAUGAAUAUACCUGUGCAUUUUCGGCCGAAGUUCCUGAGAGGAUGAUAGCAAGGCUAUACUUAAAGCUACAAACACGUUCGUAAUUGCUGCAGUGCAGGAGUUGUGGUGGAAAUGCCUUGUUAAUGUAAUGAUAUGGCUUAGGUUGUCUCCUCUGUGUAGUCUUUGUAUAUAUCUUAUGAUGUCACGUGGCAGUAAUGUGAUGACUGAUUAUGCUGAGGAAGUGCUUGCAUGGAUGCAGAGGAAAGAAUUGGAACAUCCUUCAUACAAUGGAAAUUCACCACAGCUGGCAAUGCGCAACACUCUUGUCGAGUUCAUUCGUUUAGUGAGUGAGCGCCGAAAGUUGAAUGUACCAACCACUCAUCUUGCUGUCUAUUUGUUGGAUAGAUUUAUGGAUGCUCACUUUAUUUCUGGCCAGCAGUUGAAGCUCACAGCUCUAACAGCAAUCCUUUUAGCAGCAAAAUUUGAGGAGAGGGAUGCCAAUGUUCCAAGGAUACCAGAGCUUAAUGCUUUUGUGAAAAGUAAAUACACUGUGGCAAUAUUCAAUUCAAUGGAAGCAUUUAUGUUAAAUUUUUACAACUGGAAUGUAGGUACAGUAACUGCUGCUCAUUUUGCAGAGUUUUAUUUGGUGCAAGGGAUAACAACAGGUGAUACUAUGAACGGUGUUAACAUCACUGUUCCAUCACAAGCAAUAAAAAUCUUAUGGAAAGCAACAAUGGAUUUCCUUGAUAUUACAUUGCAAGAUCAAGCAUUUCUGCAAUGGCGUUCUUCUCUAGUAGCAGCGGCAUGUCUUGCUUGCGGUCGUUUUUAUUGCCAUUUACUUCCAACUUGGCCUCUGUCACUUGAAGUGACAACUGGCUACCACCUACAAAAGCUUUCACAUAUUAUGGACCUUUUGAUCAGCACUUGAUGAUUGCUGGUUCAAGUAUGCUGAAGGCAUCCAGUUGAGAGGUUGCGUUCGACGAUAGGGUAGAAGUCCGUCAUUGUAGGUUCGGAGAAUAUAUGAAAAGGAGGAGAAGGGUAGUGAGUGUAGUUUGUCUGACUCGGCCUAUAGCAGUAACUGUUCAAGUCUGCAAGGAUCUCCUGUAACUCAGACUACAAAUGAGUAACAAAUAAAUCUGUGAUUAUGAUCUCAAAUGCCUUCAAAAAAGACUUUUUAAGGUUUGUAGUUAAGUUGUGUUAUGUGAUCAAUCAAGUUCUCAAGGAUCGACUUCCUACUUCCUUAUUGCUUAUCUCUUAAGAAAAACUGGGGUACCAAAGUAUGUCUACUGAAUCAAGUGAAUUGUAUUUAGGUUGAAGUAGUUGUGAUUUUUAUUAUUGUUCCUGUACUGUUUAGUACAAACACUUACAAGAAGAGGGCUUUCCUUACAGUUAAGUUUUCAUUUUUCUCUUGUUUUAGUAUUAAGGAUUAUCAGUGUGUUAUGUUAAGUGAUGUAUAGCAGAAAUUUGUAUUUGCUUCUAUGGGUAGCCAUGUAAACAUACUGAAAUAUAAUAGAAAUGUUUAAAUACUUAAAAGUUGAACAAUACAGAAUAUUGUACUGCUGUACAUUUGCUGUUCUGGUAUCUGAUAUUUUAUGAAGACUUGAGGGAUUUAUUUAGUCUGGUUAAAUUUAAUUGAUAAUUUCCAUGUGAGCAUCCAUUUUCUUUGAUGGGACCUUGAAUUACAUAAAGUUGUGACAAAAAAGUUUAUGAACUAGUGCAAGCUGUAUUAUGCAAUUGUUUAUCAGGUUAGUAUGUUUGUGUGAGCUACUUCAUAAGAGCUCAUCUUGAAUUUUUAGAUUGUCUAAAAAAAUCUUUGGUUAACAUCAAGCUUGAUUGUAGGUAAAUUCCUAAAGUAUACCUAAGUAAAACAUGAUGGCAAAAUGAAAGAAUUGGCGUAACUUGUUUUAAUGAGUUCAUACAAAACAAGCCAUUGCCUGAGACAAUCUUGCACUUAUAUUUUGUAAUGUUGACAGACUUGAAACAAGAGCAAAAAAAUACUUAAGGCAUUGGUUUACAUGUUCAAAAUAAUUAAUGAAUUUAAAAGAUUUCCUAUUUCUGUUUAAAGGUUAGCAUAAGACUUAUAGUAAGUUCAACUUAGCAGGUUUUCAUUAUGGUUUUAUCCCUUGAUUCUCCACAGGGAAAUGAACACUGCAAAACACACAUUCAUUUUUGUCUCUAGUAUAUCUGUGCAAGUGUGUAGCUUUCUGAUUUAUACAAGAUAUCUGAUUGUCACUGAGAUUUAUUUUUAUAUAUUUAUACUUAAAUCUAGGUAGAUUUGUUUAAAUAUAAAACAGUACAAGUUUAUUCUGCUAAAUUAAGUAUUUUUAUGGUUGUAAAGUAGCAUACUUCCACCAUCUCACUUGGAAAGGCUUAAGGUCAGUUUUUUCAACCUAUUGGCUAUUUUUCCUUACAGAUAAGGAGCAUAUGUCAGUGUAGCUUUAAUACUGCUUAUGUCAUUACUUUUCACCAGUUUCAUGUUUGUCACUUUUUGACUCUCAAGUUCUGAUUUGUCAUUUUUGUCUUAGUUUUAAAUAAACCAGCUGUUUAAGUCUCAUUACCAUUUGCAUCCUUGUUAUAGUAUGGCUAAUGCUUAAAUUUUGACUUCUUGAAAAGACUGUGUAUAUAUAGUUUAAGGAUCUAUUUUAGUACAAAAUACUGAAUCCUGUUAGUUGUAGAAUUAUCUCUCAAAGACUUUGUUGUGAUGAACUUAUAUCACUCAGGAAUUUUUUGUACACCAUAAGGUGUUGGUAAUUCCUUGAUUGUAAUUGUGAUAAGCCUUUGUAAAACAUUUGUCUUGUUAUUUUUUGGAAUACCUGACUAGUAUAUAGUAACAUAAUUAACAACUGUGGGGUGCUAUUGUAUUCUAAAUUUGAUGUGAUUUUCAUCACAUAACUUAUUGCUUUAUUCUAAGACUUCCAGGUCACCUUGCAAUAGCUACAGGUAGUAGCUAUCAGUUAGGUAUAAAUCCAAGUUAACAAAGACACUUAAUUGAUGUAAGGCAGUGUACUUCAUUGAUGCAUCUUCUUAUGAUGAAGGUUCCUAGUUCCAGUUGAACCUUAGUUUUAGUAGAAUGUGUCAUUUGUUUAAGACAAUCAGAAUUUACAUCUGUUAAUUAUGUGUACAGUUGAAGAGUAGUUGUUUGUAUUUGAUCUCAUUUGGUGCUAAGUGUGAUCAUAGAGAUUGCAGUUGGUCAAAAAUUAAUUGACUGGGAAAGAUUUUCCAUGUGUGUAUUAAUGUUUAGCAAUUGCUGAAAUAAGACCAUUUUACCAAGGGCUUCUUUUCAGCUGUUAUAUUGUUUUUGCUUGUGCUUGUACUGUAUUGAAACUCUUGUUGAGGCAGCAUUUAUUUUCAGUACUUAAAGAUGAUAAAUAUAUUUUGUGUUUCUAGUCAGGGGAUUUAUUGAUUUUUACACAUGGCCUUUUUGUUGUGUAAUGGCAUUGUGGACUAGGGCUUGAUGUUGAGCCUAGUGAGUAUUUGCAUUAAAGGAAUUAUAUGUAUU